GUGACCGUGCCUGAGUCCACCGCGGUGGUACUAAGCUUCAAGCCACUUCCGAGAGCUGGCGGAGGGUCUGCCGGCCUCCUGCAAGAAGUUUGUUGAAACUGCAGGGUCCAAGAGUGGCGCCAGAUGUCUGAGCUCUCUUCGCCUCUCCCACCAAGAAAUCCACACCCCUGGCGCCACUGAGGAUCCAGUUGCGGGGUCCUUCUCUCCUGGGACAGGUCAGCCGGCUCCCAGGCUCAGGCUAAGGACAAGCUUUAAGUCCUGGUCCGCAUCUUUCAACCAGUGUCAUAUGAAAACUGGAUGUAGUGGCGUCUGCUUGUGACAUCGGCACUCUGAUGGUGGAAGCGGGAAAAUCAUAGUUUAAGGCCAUCCUCCACUACAUAACAAGUUCAAGGCCAUCCUGAGCUGCAUGAGACCCCAUCACAAAAUAAGCACAGAAGCUAAGCACUUGCUCUUCUUGGUUAACAUGAGCCAACGUUGCCAUCACCACCUUUUAAAGUCUACUUAGAAACCCAGGCUUGGGUUCUCACUCUGUUGCGGCUACGAUGCCUCUCCAGUAUCCAUAUAACCACUUCGCGGUCUGGAAUUUCCUCUGGGAAUUACGGAAGGGGAUCAAACAUCUGUAUGGCCCUCCUCCCUUGCAUUAACUUCGUACUUAAACUUUAGAAGUCUGACUGCACAAUGUUGGGGCUGGGGCUGAGGCUAUGCUGCUUCAACCCCACACGUGAUUAGCUGUUUCGUCUGUGGGAGCAAAUGAACGCAUGCAAGGGAGACGGCGGUGAAAUCAGGCCCGAGUCGAGGCCCCGCGCAGGGCAGCGGCGCCCCAAGCUCCAUUCCAGGCCCGGGGCCUGGGUCCCGCGAGCGCUCCAAGGCACAAGGUCCCCCGGACCCAGGCCUCUGGCGGCGGACCUACCUGUCGGACUGCCCAGCGGGGUCCUGCGGCGGCCAGUCCACCCGGCCACCUAGAGGGGACCCAGCUGGCAGGGCCCGUCGCUGCUUCCCCGCCCCUACCGCCACUGAGCGCUGGCUCCGGGCUCGCUGCGGACGCCGCGAUCGCCAACCCGGAAGCGCGCACCUUCAGCAGCCGGAGCACGUGACCGCUAGCCCCGCCCCCGGGCGGAGUUUGCUGGGGAAUCCGGAAAGGGACGGUCUGAUGGGAGAACCUGCCUCUGCCGGAGUCUGCGUCCUGCUACACUGCGGUGUCUCCGCGGGUACCUCAGUCACUGACCGGUUAGACCCCAAGCCUGCUGGUGAGGAGUGCGUGGUGGACGAAUGAAGCCACCUCGGUCUUUAUCUCCUCAUGGGAUGCUAACCUAAUAAAUUGUACCCCUAAA